GGAAAGGCGAAAAGAACCCCGGCGAGGGGAGUGAAAAAGAACCUGAAACCGUGUACGUACAAGCAGUGGGAGCCCCACCACCAAAGCAUUCUCUGGUGUUGAAGGCCCUGCAAAGCAGCAUCGCGGUGGCGGAGCGUCGUUUGCGACGCCCAACACACAAAACAAGCGGUGAGUGCUUUGGGGUGGGGUGACUGCGUACCUUUUGUAUAAUGGGUCAGCGACUUAUAUUCUGUAGCAAGGUUAACCGAAUAGGGGAGCCGGAGGGAAACCGAGUCUUAAUUGGGCGUUAAGUUGCAGGGUAUAGACCCGAAACCCGGUGAUCUAGCCAUGGGCAGGUUGAAGGUUGGGUAACACUAACUGGAGGACCGAACCGACUAAUGUUGAAAAAUUAGCGGAUGACCUGUGGCUGGGGGUGAAAGGCCAAUCAAACCGGGAGAUAGCUGGUUCUCCCCGAAAGCUAUUUAGGUAGCGCCUCGUGAAUUCAUCUCCGGGGGUAGAGCACUGUUUCGGCUAGGGGGCCAUCCCGGCUUACCAACCCGAUGCAAACUGCGAAUACCGGAGAAUGUUAUCACGGGAGACACACGGCGGGUGCUAACGUCCGUCGUGAAGAGGGAAACAACCCAGACCGCCAGCUAAGGUCCCAAAGUCAUGGUUAAGUGGGAAACGAUGUGGGAAGGCCCAGACAGCCAGGAUGUUGGCUUAGAAGCAGCCAUCAUUUAAAGAAAGCGUAAUAGCUCACUGGUCGAGUCGGCCUGCGCGGAAGAUGUAACGGGGCUAAACCAU
rnacentral:rRNA from 1 species